rnacentral:rRNA from 1 species
GAUGAACGCUGGCGGCGUGCCUAAUACAUGCAAGUCGAGCGAACGGACGAGAAGCUUGCUUCUCUGAUGUUAGCGGCGGACGGGUGAGUAACACGUGGAUAACCUACCUAUAAGACUGGGAUAACUUCGGGAAACCGGAGCUAAUACCGGAUAAUAUUUUGAACCGCAUGGUUCAAAAGUGAAAGACGGUCUUGCUGUCACUUAUAGAUGGAUCCGCGCUGCAUUAGCUAGUUGGUAAGGUAACGGCUUACCAAGGCAACGAUGCAUAGCCGACCUGAGAGGGUGAUCGGCCACACUGGAACUGAGACACGGUCCAGACUCCUACGGGAGGCAGCAGUAGGGAAUCUUCCGCAAUGGGCGAAAGCCUGACGGAGCAACGCCGCGUGAGUGAUGAAGGUCUUCGGAUCGUAAAACUCUGUUAUUAGGGAAGAACAUAUGUGUAAGUAACUGUGCACAUCUUGACGGUACCUAAUCAGAAAGCCACGGCUAACUACGUGCCAGCAGCCGCGGUAAUACGUAGGUGGCAAGCGUUAUCCGGAAUUAUUGGGCGUAAAGCGCGCGUAGGCGGUUUUUUAAGUCUGAUGUGAAAGCCCACGGCUCAACCGGGGAGGGUCAUUGGAAACUGGAAAACUUGAGUGCAGAAGAGGGAAAGUGGAAUUCCAUGUGUAGCGGUGAAAUGCGCAGAGAUAUGGAGGAACACCAGUGGCGAAGGCGACUUUCUGGUCUGUAACUGACGCUGAUGUGCGAAAGCGUGGGGAUCAAACAGGAUUAGAUACCCUGGUAGUCCACGCCGUAAACGAUGAGUGCUAAGUGUUAGGGGGUUUCCGCCCCUUAGUGCUGCAGCUAACGCAUUAAGCACUCCGCCUGGGGAGUACGACCGCAAGGUUGAAACUCAAAGGAAUUGACGGGGACCCGCACAAGCGGUGGAGCAUGUGGUUUAAUUCGAAGCAACGCGAAGAACCUUACCAAAUCUUGACAUCCUUUGACAACUCUAGAGAUAGAGCUUUCCCCUUCGGGGGACAAAGUGACAGGUGGUGCAUGGUUGUCGUCAGCUCGUGUCGUGAGAUGUUGGGUUAAGUCCCGCAACGAGCGCAACCCUUAAGCUUAGUUGCCAUCAUUAAGUUGGGCACUCUAAGUUGACUGCCGGUGACAAACCGGAGGAAGGUGGGGAUGACGUCAAAUCAUCAUGCCCCUUAUGAUUUGGGCUACACACGUGCUACAAUGGACAAUACAAAGGGCAGCGAAACCGCGAGGUCAAGCAAAUCCCAUAAAGUUGUUCUCAGUUCGGAUUGUAGUCUGCAACUCGACUACAUGAAGCUGGAAUCGCUAGUAAUCGUAGAUCAGCAUGCUACGGUGAAUACGUUCCCGGGUCU